GUACCAGAAUGAACCAGAUUUAUCCGUUGUUGCAAUGCAGAUUAUUUAGCCUCGCAUUGACAUUUUUCUAGAAGAUCCCCUGGUGUUUCUUGCUGCCUUUGCCGUUGAGAAAUAUUGAAGGAUAAAAACUGGAUUCAGACUCCCGAGACAUUUAAUUCACAAUCCUGCCAAGAGAAACAUUAUUUAGGAAAUCAGAUGACUCAAUCUAAGGUGAUCCCUCCCUUGCCAGCAGCGUCCAGAAGCAUUAACGUCUCACAGCAAUCCCAGUGUACACACCUACUUUGGGAUAGAUUGCUAGGCUGGUGGCAAUAAGGUGUGCCACCCUGUGCCGCGAUCCCACUAGAUUUUACAAGCUAAUCAAGAUUUAGCUAUGUCUGUUUGGAUGGAAGAGGCAGGAAAGG